CUCCCCAUAUGGUUUGGAUCAAAAAAUGUUAGGGGUCCUUGUAGCUUAGCCCUACUUCUCGUGCAACUAAGAUCUUCAUGGACCAUUGGCUCACUAAAAAAUAAGCAGCCUUUAGGGAUCCUUAUAGGUUAGCCCCCACUGCUUAGCCAUCGAGAUCUUCACCGAAGAUUGGAAAAAGGGCUAUCAUACUCGAAGUUUCUUUUGGAGGAGUUUGGGAGCCCCAAUAGUUGGCUCUUCAUUGGUCAAAGUUGGUUUAUGAGUCUACUUAU
rnacentral:lncRNA from 1 species